CAUCCCUUUUUUUAAGGGAUAGGGUCGGUUCGGCCGGAUUUUACACAAGUGUUGCAUGGCUGUCGUCAGCUCGUGUCGUGAGAUGUUGGGUUAAGUCCCGCAACGAGCGCAACCCUCAUCCUUAGUUGCUAUCAGGUAAUGCUGAGUACUUUAAGGAAACUGCCAGUGAUAAGCUGGAGGAAGGUGGGGAUGAUGUCAAGUCAUCAUGGCCUUUAUGGAGUGGGCUACACACGUGCUACAAUGGUGUCUACAAUGGGCUGCAAGGUGCGCAAGCCUAAGCUAAUCCCUAAAAGACAUCUCAGUUCGGAUUGUACUCUGCAACUCGAGUACAUGAAGUUGGAAUCGCUAGUAAUCGUGGAUCAGCAUGCCACGGUGAAUACGUUCUCGGGUCUUGUACACACUGCCCGUCACGCCAUGGGAAUUGGUUUACUUUCCAAAG
rnacentral:rRNA from 1 species